rnacentral:rRNA from 1 species
GACGAACGCUGGCGGCGUGCUUAACACAUGCAAGUCGAACGAAGUGGAGAACGGGUGAGUAACGCGUAAUCAACCUGCCCUUCCGAGGGGGACAACAGUUGGAAACGACUGCUAAUACCGCAUCCGGCAGGAGGGGAUUGCGUCUGAUUAGCUAGUUGGAGGGGGAACGGCCCACCAAGGCGAUGAUCAGUAGCCGGUCUGAGCUGAUGAACGGCCACAUUGGGACUUAGACACGGCCCAGACUCCUACGGGAGGCAGCAGUGGGGAAUCUUCCGCAAUGGACGAAAGUCUGACGAAGCAACGCCGCGGGAGGGAUGACGGGCUUCGGGUUGUAAAGCUCUGUUAAGCGGGACGCGGUACCGGAAUAGAAAGCCACGGCUAACUACGUGCCAGCAGCCGCGGUAAUAC